CCUACGGGGGGCAGCAGUGGGGAAUAUUGGGCAAUGGAGGCAACUCUGACCCAGCAACGCCGCGUGAAUGAUGAAGGUCUUCGGAUUGUAAAGUUCUUUUCUAAGGGAAGAAGAAAGUGACGGUACCUUAGGAAUAAGCCUCGGCUAACUACGUGCCAGCAGCCGCGGUAAUACGUAGGAGGCAAGCGUUAUCCGGAAUGACUGGGCGUAAAGGGUGCGUAGGGGGUUUGACAAGUUAGUAGCGCAACUCCGGGGCUCAACUUCGGAACUACUACUAAAACUGUUGGACUUGAGUGCAGGAGGGGCAAUCGGAAUUCCUAGUGUAGCGGUGGAAUGCGUAGAUAUUAGGAGGAACACCAGUGGCGAAGGCGGUCUGCUGGACAGCAACUGACGCUGAGGCGCGAAAGCGUGGGGAGCAAACAGGAUUAGAUACCCGGGUAGUC
rnacentral:rRNA from 1 species